rnacentral:rRNA from 1 species
UACGGAGGAUGCAAGCGUUAUCCGGAAUGAUUGGGCGUAAAGCGUCCGCAGGUGGCUUGGUAAGUCUGCUGUUAAAGAGUGAGGCUCAACCUCAUAAAAGCAGUGGAAACUACACGGCUAGAGUGCGUUCGGGGCAGAGGGAAUUCCUGGUGUAGCGGUGAAAUGCGUAGAUAUCAGGAAGAACACCGGUGGCGAAAGCGCUCUGCUAGGCCGCAACUGACACUGAGGGACGAAAGCUAGGGGAGCGAAUGGG